CUGUAGCCUAUCAGGCUUCUCCGUCCAUGGGAUUUUCCAGGCAAGAGUGCUGGAGUGGAUUGCCAUUUCCUUCUCCAGGGGAUCUUCCCAAUCCAGGAAUCGAACCCAGGUCUCCCGCAUUGCAGGCAGACGCUUUACCGUCUGAGCCACCAGGGAAGCCCCAAAAAUGUGGCAGUGGGGGAAGCCAAUUAUAUCAGGUUUUGGUGAAGUGGGAGUUCAAUACUAUGAGAUACUCAAUUUACAAAAGGUUUUUUGUUAGUCAUGAGGAUCUGAUGUCACCAUGAAGGGAUUUAGUGCUUCUCUAGAUAUGAGGAGAUGCAAGGAUUGGGAUCAUAAAAUCUGUUCCUAAAAACAUCCAAGUAUCUAAAGACCUGUCUUACCAGAUUCCCUGGAGCACAGAGUGCCUCCCUCCACCCUGAACUCCCUCAGGGGUUGAUGAAGGUCAGCAGCUGCAGCAGCAUGGUGUUCGGUCUCCAGAGAGGCAGAUGGCAAAUGCCUUUUUUGUUCAGUCACUGGCAAUGCUCUUGGUUCUACAAGAUCAGACAGUGUUGUUACUUUGUCCUAGAAGAGCCUCCUCAGACAAGAAUGGCAAAGGCAGGGCAUUACCCUGGAGAAGUGCUCCUGGGAUGGAGGACAGUGAUGAAGGAGGACUUGCUGUUUCAUCCCGAAGGUUGAAAUCCCAUGUGUAUCCUGAAAUGACUUGCUCAUCCUGUUUCUUAACGCCCAUGCCUCACUUCCUGCAGAUAAGAACAGCUCAGAAUCAUUAGCUGCAUCCUAUAAUUUAAAAUAAAUAUGAACAAUCUGUUUAUUGUUACCAGCAAUGUGUUAAGCUAAAUGAAAAGCUGUACAACAAACUUGAAGAAGAUAUUCAAUAAACAAACAAACUCAAACCACCAAGUUCAGAGACAAGGCAGCUAAAGUGCCUGAAGGACAGUUUCAACUCCUCUCUCCAUAGUGUGCAAAGUCACAGAGCUUAUAGACCUGCUUCUUCAUCCAAAUCUCUGCUUAAAGUCACCUCCUCUAGAAGCUCGGGGUAACUAUUUAAAAUUGGCUGCCUUCAUCACUCUCUAAGUCAUGCUCCUGUUUUAUUAUCCUCAGAGUACUUCUCACUCUCAGAAAAAAAAAAAAAGUAUGUCUUUUCAAAAUCUAGACCUCAUUUUUUUUUUAAAUCUCCUCUUUAGAAUAUAAGUUCCAUGAGAGCAGGGAUCUCUAGGUGUUAGAACCUGUAACGGUGGUUGACACCCAGGAGAUAGUCAAUAAAUGUUGCUAAAUGAAUAUGCUGUCUGAACUUCUCAAAGUAAGUGGCGAGGAGGAGAGAUUUAAAAAGAGGGGUUGAAAAAGAAACUAUCUCUUUAUUCAUCUAAUCUUUCUGCCUCUUCAAAAGGGAGGCAAACAUUAAAAAAUAAACAAAAGAAGCUAAUUGGUGGCUUUUAUGCUGCUUUAUAAAUUCAGGGAUUUUCACGGGUAAUUUUGACAGUUGUGUGUUUUUUGCCUUACGCACUGACAUUAGAAACAACACUGUGAGAUGCGGUUUCUUAUACUUAUAAAAUGGUUGGCCUACAGAGGGUGCUAGUUCACUUCAGAAAACUAACAUAAAUGAUUAAACUUUCUUUGUCAGACGGCAUCAUCGACUCGAUGGACAUGAGUUUGAGUAAGCUCCAGGAGUUAGUGAUGGACAGGGAAGCCUGGUGUGCUGCAGUCCAUGGGGUCGCAAAGAGCCAGACAUGACUGAGCGACUGAACCAAAACUUUCUUUGGGUAAAGAGUUUACAAAGCAAGCAUGGAAGCAGCUUAGUAACAGCUAAUAAAAUGCUUAAAUUUGCCACAUUUGGCUUCAUAACCAAAGUUUAAAUUAAAAAAAGAAGAAAACAGUCUGUGAAAAUGCCAGAAGGAGUCAAAGACCUCCCCUGGAGAAAAGAAGUGACAUUAUUUUUCAAAUGCAAAGAAGAGAAGCCAGGCUAAGAGAAGUAUCCAAAAGUAGAGAAUAUUGUGUAUAUUGUGAAAGAGAAUAUUGAGGCUGGGAGAAGUUGCAAGUCUUGGAGGAGAGGUUGGCAGGCCUCUGCUAAAUUCUACCCCACCCUUCAUGCUGAGAAAUGAGGACUUUAAAGGCCUGGUGUUAGAUGCCUUUAGACUCUCAAGAUAGGAGUAGUCUUCCUUCGGCUGCUUAACUGAGCACAUCAUUCGUGAAACUGAUCCUGGGUUUAGGAUUCAGCAAGGCCUGUGGGGAAGAAGAAUUACUUGAGAGUUUUGAAAUAUGUGCUUGGUCACAGUAGGCUUUGUGGGAACAACAGAGGAGCCUGGUAAGAAGGAGAAGCCUCUGCAAGGUUUGGAUCUGCUGAAAAAUCUUCAGGAGAGGAAGUGAAACCAGCCAGUUAGAUCUCAGUGAAGACUUUAGAACCCUCUAGAGUGAACAAACACUUGAGGCAGCUCUGAUAGUCCAGAACCUCAAGGCAGAGAUUCAUAAUCCUAGUACUGUAGCCUUCAGUGAUCAGAUACUAAUUUUCAAGGAAAUUUGGACUCAAAAACCUACAAGAGCUGUGACACAGCUUAUUAAUACUGUCCUUGCCUUUGUCGGUUCAAGGUAGAUUAAUUACUUUACUAUAAUGUUCAAUGGUUAAAUUUUAAAACAAUAAAGGACAAGGGAUGAGUUUGUAAAAACAAUCAGCCACCUCCUUCAAUUUAUCCGUGAAAUCAAUUAAAUCAGCUUUUUGGGCACAGUGUAGGGAAAAUAUCUAUUUUCCCAGUGAACUAUCUCACUGAUUAAAUGUUUCAUUUAGAAG
ensembl:lincRNA